GCCAGACUCCUACGGGAGGCAGCAGUGGGGAAUAUUGCACAAUGGGGGAAACCCUGAUGCAGCGACGCCGCGUGAAGGAAGAAGUAUUUCGGUAUGUAAACUUCUAUCAGCAGGGAAGAAAAUGACGGUACCUGACUAAGAGGCCCCGGCCAACUACGUGCCAGCAGCCGCGGUAAUACGUAGGGGGCAAGCGUUAUCCGGAUUUACUGGGUGUAAAGGGGGCGCAGACGGCAGCGCAAGCCAGGAGUGAAAGCCCGGGGCCCAACCCCGGGACUGCUCUUGGAACUGCGCGGCUGGAGUGCAGGAGGGGCAGGCGGAAUUCCUGGUGUAGCGGUGAAAUGCGUAGAUAUCAGGAGGAACACCGGUGGCGAAGGCGGCCUGCUGGACUGCGACUGACGUUGAGGCCCGAAAGCGUGGGGAGCAAACAGGAUUAGAUACCCGUA
rnacentral:rRNA from 1 species